rnacentral:rRNA from 1 species
GAUGAACGCUGGCGGCGUGCCUAACACAUGCAAGUUGAGCGUGAAAUUUAUAUUGAUUCUUCGGAUGAUUUAUAAAUGGAAAGCAGCGGACGGGUGAGUAACGCGUGGAUAACCUGCCCUAUACUCCAGGAUAACAUACCGAAAGGUAUGCUAAUACUGGAUAAUAUACAUUAGUCGCAUGGCUUUUGUAUCAAAGAUUACGGUAUAGGAUGGAUCCGCGUUCCAUUAGCUAGUUGGUGGGUAAGGCUACCAAGGCGACGAUGGAUAGCCGACCUGAGAGGGUGAUCGGCCACACUGGAACUGAGACACGGUCCAGACUCCUACGGGAGGCAGCAGUGGGGAAUCUUAGACAAUGGGGCAACCCGAAUCUAGCCAUGCCGCGUGAACGAUGAA